rnacentral:rRNA from 1 species
UACGUAGGGGGCUAGCGUUGUCCGGAAUCAUUGGGCGUAAAGCGCGUGUAGGCGGUUCGGUAAGUCCGCUGUGAAAGUCGGGGGCUCAACCCUCGGAUGCCGGUGGAUACUGUCGGACUAGAGUUCGGAAGAGGCGAGUGGAAUUCCCGGUGUAGCGGUGAAAUGCGCAGAUAUCAGGAGGAACACCCAUAGCGAAGGCAGCUUGCUGGGACGUUACUGACGCUAAGGCGCGAAAGCGUGGGGAGCGAACAGG